AUUGAACGCCGGCGGCAUGCUUUACACAUGCAAGUCGAACGGUAACAGGCCGCAAGGUGCUGACGAGUGGCGAACGGGUGAGUAAUGCAUCGGAACGUGCCCAGUCGUGGGGGAUAACGCAGCGAAAGCUGCGCUAAUACCGCAUACGAUCUAUGGAUGAAAGCGGGGGACCGUAAGGCCUCGCGCGAUUGGAGCGGCCGAUGUCAGAUUAGGUAGUUGGUGGGGUAAAGGCUCACCAAGCCAACGAUCUGUAGCUGGUCUGAGAGGACGACCAGCAACACUGGGACUGAGACACGGCCCCGACUCCUACGGGAGGAAGCAGUGGGGAAUUUUGGACAAUGGGCGCAAGCCUGAUCCAGCAAUGCCGCGUGCAGGAAGAAGGCCUUCGGGUUGUAAACUGCUUUUGUACGGAACGAAACGGUCCUGGUUAAUACCCGGGGCUAAUGACGGUACCGUAAGAAUAAGCACCGGCUAACUACGUGCCAGCCGCCGCAGUAAUAC
rnacentral:rRNA from 1 species